rnacentral:rRNA from 1 species
UACGUAGGGUGCUAGCGUUAUCCGUAAUUACUGGGCGUAAAGGGUGCGUAGGUGGUUUCUUAAGUCAGAGGUGAAAGGCUACGGCUCAACCGUAGUAAGCCUUUGAAACUGAGAAACUUGAGUGCAGGAGAGGAGAGUAGAAUUCCUAGUGUAGCGGUGAAAUGCGUAGAUAUUAGGAGGAAUACCAGUUGCGAAGGCGGCUCUCUGGACUGUAACUGACACUGAGGCACGAAAGCGUGGGGAGCAAACAGG